GGGACCCCUCUUAUGAUGGCCUUUACCUGUUGAAACCUCAAGGUCAUUUUGGAGCUGCUGAAUCAUGGUGCUAACCCAAUGCUGUAGAACAAGGAUGGAUGGAACUCAUUCCACAUUGCAUGCUGAGAAGGAGAUCUAGCCAUCAUACACCACCUCCUACUGGCCAAACCCGAGGUGUGGAAGACAAAGAGCAAGACUGGCAGGACACCUCUCCACACUGCUGUGAAGAUUAUGCUUCAGAGUUGUGGCUAUGAGCCUGAUGAGAAGGACAGUUGUGGAGUCACACCAUUUAUGGAUGCCAUAAGAAAUGAAUUGCUCAUUGAGAAUCACCAGGUAAGCACAUAUUAUCAAUAUCCCUCACUUUUUUUUCUUAUAUUAGAUAUAAGCAUAUACACAUUUAUCUGGUUUAUCUCCUUCCGCGGUAGAUAUUAUCGUUGCACAGCCCCUACACCAGGCCUCUGUAACUGCUCAGGAAGAAGCACUUUAUUUCCUUGUGCAUAAUCUUGGUAUUGAUAUAAACUUAAGAGCCACAAAACUGGAGCUGACUACAUUGCACUACGCCACUAAGGAAGGUCACACAUGUUUCAUAAAAACACUGCAUGCCCUGGGCGCUGAUCUACAUGCAAGAGACACAAAAGGAAGAUCAGG